GACGUAGGGCGCGAGCGUUGUCCGGAUUUAUUGGGCGUAAAGAGCUCGUAGGCGGCUUGUUGCGUCGACUGUGAAAACCCGCGGCUUAACUGCGGGCUUGCAGUUGAUACGGGCAGGCUAGAGUUCGGUAGGGGAGACUGGAAUUCCUGGUGUAGCGGUGAAAUGCGCAGAUAUCAGGAGGAACACCAGUGGCGAAGGCGGCUCACUGGUCCGGUACUGACGCUGAGGUGCGAAAGCGUGGGGAGCAAACAGG
rnacentral:rRNA from 1 species